rnacentral:rRNA from 1 species
AUUGAACGCUGGCGGCAGGCCUAACACAUGCAAGUCGAGCGGAUGAAGGGAGCUUGCUCCUGGAUUCAGCGGCGGACGGGUGAGUAAUGCCUAGGAAUCUGCCUGGUAGUGGGGGAUAACGUCCGGAAACGGGCGCUAAUACCGCAUACGUCCUGAGGGAGAAAGUGGGGAAUCUUCGGACCUCACGCUCUCAGAUGAGCCUAGGUCGGAUUAGCUAGUUGGUGGGGUAAAGGCCUACCAAGGCGGCGAUCCGUAACUGGUCUGAGAGGAUGAUCAGUCACACUGGAACGGAGACACGGGCCAGACUCCUACGGGAGGCAGCAGUGGGGAAUAUUGGACAAUGGGCGAAAGCCUGAUCCAGCCAUGCCGCGUGUGUGAAGAAGGUCUUCGGAUUGUAAAGCACGUUAAGUUGGGAGGAAGGGCAGUAAGUUAAUACCUUGCUGUUUUGACGUUACCAACAGAAUAAGCACCGGCUAACUUCGUG